GACGGUCUUGCUGUCACUUAUAGAUGGAUCCGCGCUGCAUUAGCUAGUUGGUAAGGUAACGGCUUACCAAGGCAACGAUGCAUAGCCGACCUGAGAGGGUGAUCGGCCACACUGGAACUGAGACACGGUCCAGACUCCUACGGGAGGCAGCAGUAGGGAAUCUUCCGCAAUGGGCGAAAGCCUGACGGAGCAACGCCGCGUGAGUGAUGAAGGUCUUCGGAUCGUAAAACUCUGUUAUUAGGGAAGAACAUAUGUGUAAGUAACUGUGCACAUCUUGACGGUACCUAAUCAGAAAGCCACGGCUAACUACGUGCCAGCAGCCGCGGUAAUACGUAGGUGGCAAGCGUUAUCCGGAAUUAUUG
rnacentral:rRNA from 1 species